CCUACGGGGGGCUGCAGUGGGGAAUAUUGGACAAUGGGCGAAAGCCUGAUCCAGCCAUGCCGCGUGUGUGAAGAAGGCCUUCGGGUUGUAAAGCACUUUCAGUGGGGAAGAAAGCCUUGGGGCUAAUACCCUCGAGGAAGGACAUCACCCACAGAAGAAGCACCGGCUAACUCCGUGCCAGCAGCCGCGGUAAUACGGAGGGUGCGAGCGUUAAUCGGAAUUACUGGGCGUAAAGCGCGCGUAGGCGGUCUGAUAAGCCGGUUGUGAAAGCCCCGGGCUCAACCUGGGAACGGCAUCCGGAACUGUCAGGCUAGAGUGCAGGAGAGGAGGGUAGAAUUCCCGGUGUAGCGGUGAAAUGCGUAGAGAUCGGGAGGAAUACCAGUGGCGAAGGCGGCCUUCUGGACUGACACUGACGCUGAGGUGCGAAAGCGUGGGUAGCAAACAGGAUUAGAUACCCUUGUAGUC
rnacentral:rRNA from 1 species